rnacentral:rRNA from 1 species
GAUGAACGCUGGCGGCGUGCCUAAUACAUGCAAGUCGAGCGAACGGACGAGAAGCUUGCUUCUCUGAUGUUAGCGGCGGACGGGUGAGUAACACGUGGAUAACCUACCUAUAAGACUGGGAUAACUUCGGGAAACCGGAGCUAAUACCGGAUAAUAUUUUGAGCCGCAUGGUUCAAAAGUGAAAGACGGUCUUGCUGUCACUUAUAGAUGGAUCCGCGCUGCAUUAGCUAGUUGGUAAGGUAACGGCUUACCAAGGCAACGAUGCAUAGCCGACCUGAGAGGGUGAUCGGCCACACUGGAACUGAGACACGGUCCAGACUCCUACGGGAGGCAGCAGUAGGGAAUCUUCCGCAAUGGGCGAAAGCCUGACGGAGCAACGCCGCGUGAGUGAUGAAGGUCUUCGGAUCGUAAAACUCUGUUAUUAGGGAAGAACAUAUGUGUAAGUAACUGUGCACAUCGUGACGGUACCUAAUCAGAAAGCCACGGCUAACUACGUG